rnacentral:rRNA from 1 species
GAUGAACGCUGGCGGCGUGCCUAACACAUGCAAGUCGAACGAAGCUUGACGGAUGAUUUCUUCGGAAUGAAGCCAGAUAUGACUUAGUGGCGGACGGGUGAGUAACACGUGAGCAACCUGCCUUUCAGAGGGGGAUAACGGCUGGAAACGGUCGCUAAUACCGCAUGAUGUGUUCGGAUGGCAUCAUCUGAACAUCAAAGAUUUAUCGCUGAAAGAUGGGCUCGCGUCUGAUUAGAUAGUUGGUGGGGUAACGGCCUACCAAGUCUACGAUCAGUAGCCGGACUGAGAGGUUGAACGGCCACAUUGGGACUGAGAUACGGCCCAGACUCCUACGGGAGGCAGCAGUGGGGAAUAUUGCACAAUGGGGGAAACCCUGAUGCAGCAACGCCGCGUGAAGGAUGACGGUUUUCGGAUUGUAAACUUCUUUUCUUAGUGACGAAGACAGUGACGGUAGCUAAGGAAUAAGCAUCGGCUAACUACGUG